rnacentral:rRNA from 1 species
UAAGUGACUAAGCGUACACGGUGGAUGCCUUGGCAGUCAGAGGCGAUGAAAGACGUAGUAACUUGCGAUAAGCCCAGAUUAGGUAGUAACAACCAUUUGAGUCUGGGAUUUCUGAAUGGGGAAACCCACGUGCAUAAGCACGUAUCCUUACCUGAAUACAUAGGGUAAGGAGGCGAACCGGGGGAACUGAAACAUCUAAGUACCCCGAGGAAAAGAAAUCAACCGAGAUUCCGAAAGUAGCGGCGAGCGAAAUUGGACUAGCCCUUAAGCUUUACACGCGUUAGACGAACGGUCUGGAAAGUCCGACGAUACAGGGUGAUAGUCCCGUAGUUGACGACGUGUGUUCAGUGAAAUCGAGUAGGGCGGGACACGUGAUAUCCUGUCUGAAUAUGGGGGGACCAUCCUCCAAGGCUAAAUACUACUGACUGACCGAUAGUGAACCAGUACCGUGAGGGAAAGGCGAAAAGAACCCCUGUGAGGGGAGUGAAAUAGAACCUGAAACCGUGUACGUACAAGCAGUAGGAGCAGGCUUGUCCUGUGACUGCGUACCUUUUGUAUAAUGGGUCAGCGACUUAUAUUCAGUGGCAAGGUUAACCAUCUAGGGGAGCCGUAGGGAAACCGAGUCUUAACUGGGCGUUCAGUCUCUGGAUAUAGACCCGAAACCAGGUGAUCUAGCCAUGGGCAGGUUGAAGGUUGAGUAACAUCAACUGGAGGACCGAACCGACUAAUGUUGAAAAAUUAGCGGAUGACUUGUGGCUAGGGGUGAAAGGCCAAUCAAACCUGGAGAUAGCUGGUUCUCCCCGAAAGCUAUUUAGGUAGCGCCUCGGACGAAUACUACUGGGGGUAGAGCACUGUUAAGGCUAGGGGGUCAUCCCGACUUACCAACCCUUUGCAAACUCCGAAUACCAGUAAGUACUAUCCGGGAGACACACGGCGGGUGCUAACGUCCGUCGUGGAGAGGGAAACAACCCAGACCGCCAGCUAAGGUCCCAAAUUACUACUAAGUGGGAAACGAUGUGGGAAGGCUCAGACAGCCAGGAUGUUGGCUUAGAAGCAGCCAUCAUUUAAAGAAAGCGUAAUAGCUCACUGGUCGAGUCGGCCUGCGCGGAAGAUGUAACGGGGCUAAGUAGUAAACCGAAGCUGCGGCAAUAUACUUUUGUAUAUUGGGUAGGGGAGCGUUCUGUAAGCGGUUGAAGGUGUGUGGUAACGCAUGCUGGACGUAUCAGAAGUGCGAAUGCUGACAUGAGUAACGAUAAAGGGGGUGAAAAACCUCCUCGCCGGAAGACCAAGGGUUCCUGUCCAACGUUAAUCGGGGCAGGGUAAGUCGACCCCUAAGGCGAGGCCGAAAGGCGUAGUCGAUGGGAAACGGGUUAAUAUUCCCGUACUUCUUACAAUUGCGAUGGGGGGACGGAGAAGGCUAGGUGGGCCUGGCGACGGUUGUCCAGGUUCAAGUGCGUAGGCUUAAGAGUUAGGUAAAUCCGGCUCUUUUUAAGGCUGAGACACGACGUCGAGCUACUACGGUAGUGAAGUCAUUGAUGCCAUGCUUCCAGGAAAAGCCUCUAAGCUUCAGAUUGUAAGGAAUCGUACCCCAAACCGACACAGGUGGUCGGGUAGAGAAUACCAAGGCGCUUGAGAGAACUCGGGUGAAGGAACUAGGCAAAAUGGUACCGUAACUUCGGGAGAAGGUACGCUCUCGACGGUGAAGUCCCUCGCGGAUGGAGCUAUUGAGAGUCGCAGAUACCAGGUGGCUGCAACUGUUUAUUAAAAACACAGCACUGUGCAAAAUCGUAAGAUGACGUAUACGGUGUGACGCCUGCCCGGUGCCGGAAGGUUAAUUGAUGGGGUUAGACUUCGGUCGAAGCUCUUGAUCGAAGCCCCGGUAAACGGCGGCCGUAACUAUAACGGUCCUAAGGUAGCGAAAUUCCUUGUCGGGUAAGUUCCGACCUGCACGAAUGGCGUAAUGAUGGCCACGCUGUCUCCACCCGAGACUCAGUGAAAUUGAAAUCGCUGUGAAGAUGCAGUGUACCCGCGGCUAGACGGAAAGACCCCGUGAACCUUUACUACAGCUUGGCACUGAACAUUGACCCUACAUGUGUAGGAUAGGUGGGAGGCUUUGAAGCACGUACGCCAGUAUGUGUGGAGCCGUCCUUGAAAUACCACCCUUGUAGUGUUGAUGUUCUAACGUCGACCCCUUAUCGGGGUUGCGGACAGUGCCUGGUGGGUAGUUUGACUGGGGCGGUCUCCUCCCAAAGAGUAACGGAGGAGCACGAAGGUGGGCUAAUCACGGUUGGACAUCGUGAGGUUAGUGCAAUGGCAUAAGCCCGCUUGACUGCGAGAAUGACAAUUCGAGCAGGUGCGAAAGCAGGUCAUAGUGAUCCGGUGGUUCUGAAUGGAAGGGCCAUCGCUCAACGGAUAAAAGGUACUCCGGGGAUAACAGGCUGAUACCGCCCAAGAGUUCAUAUCGACGGCGGUGUUUGGCACCUCGAUGUCGGCUCAUCACAUCCUGGGGCUGAAGUCGGUCCCAAGGGUAUGGCUGUUCGCCAUUUAAAGUGGUACGCGAGCUGGGUUUAGAACGUCGUGAGACAGUUCGGUCCCUAUCUGCCGUGGGCGUUGGAAGAUUGAAGGGGGCUGCUCCUAGUACGAGAGGACCGGAGUGGACGAACCUCUGGUGUUCGGGUUGUGUCGCCAGACGCAUUGCCCGGUAGCUAAGUUCGGAAUCGAUAACCGCUGAAAGCAUCUAAGCGGGAAGCGAGCCCUGAGAUGAGUCUUCCCUGAUACUUUAAGUAUCCUAAAGGGUUGUCGGAGACUACGACGUUGAUAGGUCAGGUGUGUAAGUGCUGUGAGGCAUUGAGCUAACUGAUACUAAUUGCCCGUGAGGCUUAACCA